UACUGGCUAGGGUGAUAGACUGUAAAACAAACUACUGGUGUGGCCCCAACCACCAUCAGAUUUGAAUAGCACACUGGUGCCAUCCUCCUUGAAUUUGUUGUAAUUCAUACAACUUGAAUCCAUCAUCUCCUUUCAGUUUAUUGGGACCAAUCCUUUGGCAUUAUUAGCCUUUUCUCUAAGUAAUGGGGGCUCCCAAUGUUUACUUCAAAGAGUAACUGAAGAUUAAAUAGGACUAUGAUCAUACAGUGUCUAGUAUAGACAUGCAGUAAGUGAUAACUAUUCCAACAAUACUACAAUUAGUUCUAGUUCCUUCUUAAACUAACCAUUUUCUUUCCCUGGCAGUCCCUGCUGAGAGUUUUUCAGCUGAGUAUAUGCAGCUCUUCCAUAGCCUGUCUCUAUUAUAUAUGAUUGAAGAAAGGAGUACUAUGACUGGCACUUCACAUGGAAGAAUGAGGACCAGCCCAGACCUUGUUCCAAUGAUUCAGUCCCUGGUUGAGCUGUUUUCCAAGCCAGCUCUAAAUACACAUAGCUAAUUUUUGCAUUUUACUGCAAGUUUUUAUCUCACAGUUGUUUUGCAGAUUUAACACAUCCACAUUCAGGAAGAAUAGGAGGCUGUUUCUUGCCAGAGUAACAAAUAUUUGCCACUUGGUGUUAUUACAUUGGCUGGAAAUUGAAUCUAGUAAAAUGUGGGUAGUGGAGAAGUCUUCAGUUUUCUUAGGAAAUUACUUUUAGAGCUAACCUGACAGAUGAUAUAAAGCAUGAUCCAAUGCCCUAUAGUAGAUGUUAGCAAACCCUUGACAGCCCUACAUUCUGCUUUUGUAAUAAAGUUUUAUUGGAAUGCAACCUGGCCCAUCAUUUACAUGUCCUCAAUAGCUGCUUUUGCUACUAUUGACUGGCACACAGACUCGGGUAGUUGUGACAGAGAACAAGUGGCCUGAAAAGUCUAAAAUCUUUACUAUCUGGCCCUUUAUAAAGAGAAAAAGUGUGCCAAUCCCUGCUUUCGUGUCUAAGUCAAGAAAUACUUUAAUAGUUUUGCCUGAUCAGGGGUGGAAGACUUGGGAAAAGGGGAAUGAGGUCUCUAGCUACAGCCAGAUUUUCAAAUAAGGAAGAAGACACACUCUGGUUCUUUCCCCAAAUAAAGCCAUGUAAGCUCUUGCUAUGAAUGCAUUUACCUAGAAUGACUGGAGACCAAGACUACAGCUACUGAUUGUUUUGAAAGAAUAUCCUAAUAUCUGCAUUGUCAUAUAUUGAUAUGUUUAUUCUAAAAAUGCAGUGGUUGUUUCUGUUUGCCCUGCAGCUUUCAGGACACCAUCAUCAUUUUCCAACAUUAUAUCUAAAUUUUCCAACAGUGAAGGAUUAUCAAAUUCCAUCACUCUGGGCCAAAAUGCAAUGUGCCCUUCAUGGAAAAAUUUUUUCAUCUUUUGUGUAGAGGAGUAAUCAUGAGUAUAUGUUAAGAAACCCUUAGCAUACAUUGGGAUUUAUAUAACAAAAUAAGUAUAAACAUUUGUCAAAGAAAUGUGUUAAUAACACUAUAUUUUUUUCUUAUGCUUCACUAGAAAGUUGUUUAAAUUGGCACCAUUUCCAUUUCUGUUCUUACAUUGUUUUACUCUACAUGUUUCAAAAAAUAAAACCAUAUCACCCUGAUUACUGAAUUCUGUGACAUCUGCUUCAAUGACAGAGUGGAAAAUUAGGUUACAUUGUCUGGAUCCUAAUUCUUCAAUUGUCUUUUUAGUCUCUUUAAAGAAUAUACCACACUCUUCUUGCCUGAAGCACUGACAAUAAAAAGUACUAGAUAGAACUGGGAAACUUUUCUAAGAUUAGCAUAUCUUGACCAAUUAAAAAAAAAAAUCAUGUCAUAAGUCUCCCUAGCUGAAUAGUUGUCCUUUAAGGACUUUCCUGCAGAAAAAAAUUGAAUUAUUGAAUCAGGCCCUAAAAAGUGGCACAUUUCUACCCUUAACAGUAAUAGAAGAAAAAAAGGCUGGAAUAGAAAGACAAUAUACCUUAUGAGCAGAUCUCCUUUUCUGCUGCAUUGCACACAUGUGGGGAUAAAGACAGGGGGAAUAAAUUGUUAAGGGUGUAGCGCCAGCCUGGACAGUUCUGUAUAAGUAGACAUCAACAGUGACUCCCUCCCCAGUACCAUGUAUGGCUGUGUCUACGCACCACAAAUACAGACACAGAGACACACACACACAUAUGCACACAUACUGAACAAUUCAUGGUUUUGAGAAAGUUUAAAGUUAGAUAAAAGUAGUCACCCCUCAAGACAGUUUGAGCUCAAAGCACAAAGUACUGACUCUAUCUAAUUGUUCUGCUGCCUGCAGAGCCCAAAGCAUGGUCAGAGCAGAGCAGAAACCACUUCUAUAGCAUCCCUUUUCACUGGGCUUUAAGCCAAAUUUAAUUUUAGCUUACAGUAGCAUCUUAGGAGGGGUGGGAAGAAAGGUGGGCCCCGGUGAUGAUCAUGAGGAAAAUGGGUCACCCGUCCUUCCAUCUGCUUCAGGCCACAGCCUCACAGCCAUGUUUUCAUGUGGUGGCAAAGGAGGAGGAGAAAGGCAUUGGCUCCCUGUUGUCUCUGCUGUUAAAAGCAGCCCCAGUCUUGAGGGCCAAUACUACCCUCUUUGAAAAAUGUCACUUUACCUGCAGAAGCAAAAUUAAUAAGACUCUCUUUAUUGAAAUACUCAGGAAGUUUGAUUACAGCUUUACUUUAGUGCUUAACUAUCCAGCACAUCAAUGCUUAUAUAUGAUUUGACUGUAACAGUUGACAAACUGCUGAAGAUUUUCAUAAUUUAUUUGUGAAACCAACUUAUUUGUGAGCGAACUCUCUCUGUUUUGCUUUUAUCACUGCUAGUAAUUAUACUUUUUUUCUCCCCCUUCAAAAACCCAACUGUAUGUAAACUGACUCUUUCCAACAGGCUAUAGGUUUCUGAACAAAGCCCUAGUGAUUUAAAGUCUUCCAAAAUUGAGCAGAAAAACUAAUACAAAAUGGGAUUUACUGAAAUUUGUAUUACAUAUUUUUCAAGAUAAAAUGUCAUUGAAUUAAUCAAUGUUUAAUUAUUAAUACACAUCAGUACAACUAGCUUGACAAACACUAUCAGUCUGGCAUCUAUUCUACCAUAAUUUGAUGAGUGCUUAAUGAAUGAAUAAAACACAGAAAUGUAGGUGGUUGGGGGAGUUUUGGCUAAAUUUAGUUUUCAUUGGAACUGUCAAGGAGCAGGAGGUGUGAUUUUUACUAUGUUAGUGGAUUCUGGAGUGAAAUUUGGGUCAAUUUCUCCACCAAGUUGGAACUAGCCAGUUUUGGCCAGUCUGUUACCUAUAUUUCCACUCCCCUUGAUCCCAAGAGAAAGCUUCCAGAGAAUGUGUAGAAUAUAAGGAAGCAUCUCGCCUAAUAUAAACACUGGCUGAAGUCCUGCCCCGCUCCCUGCUCAUGUCUGGCUGUCUAUCUCCUAUAACACUUGGAGAGGACUAGAGAAAAGAGAGAGUUUGAACUUCAAUCUAGAGCCUGAUUAUGAUCUUUUAUUCAGGUUUCACAUCCUAGAGUGCAACAGGGAAAUCUACCAAUUAAGUCCAGUACCCCAGCUGGGUGACUUAUGGAGUGAUCCAGCCAAGGUUUUCUAGAAAGCCAGCCUGCAGGAGCAAAGCAGCCACAUUUCUGGCCCUUGGAUAUCUGGGCUUCCAUAGAACCUGAAAAGAGGAUUUGGUGCUCUGCAAUGUCCUAGACUGGCAUCAAAGCUUUGAGGGAGAAGGAAAUGAUGAUCCAAGGACAAGGAGAAAGAGAACUGGAUUUCAAAGGAAAAAGAAAACUACUAAGGAACAGUAACAUUUCAAUUUGGUUGAAAUGAAUCUAGGAAAAGAGAGGAAGAAUGUAGUUGAGUAGCCUAUAUGUAACAUUUGAUGUCUAUGGAAAAUAGUAUCUGUCUUUACUUACUCCCUGACCAACUGAUCAACUGAACAGGAUUAAGACCCCAGCGAGGCAAACUUUUUUCCAAAGUUGGCACUUGUCUUCUAAAGCAUUAAAACAAAACAAACAAACAAACAAAAAGCCCAGAAAACUCCUUGGUCAAUUUUUCAAGCAUGCUGAAAAUAACUUCAUUUUUAAAAGUGAUAAAGACUAUAAAGUACUUAACUUGCCUCUCCUACAACUGUACCCUAAAAUAAGCAAAUAAUUGAAAAGGAAAGUUUCUCUAUAGAAGUAGGAUAACUCCUAAAUGAAAAACUAAUGAUUAAUUAAAAUGUCACCAUUUUGGAACCAUUAAGAGCUUAACAGAGCUAGACAAUAAUCAAAAUAGGUACUGAUGUCAAAGAAGGUGUCAAAUAUUCAUGCCUUCCCAUGGAGGUACACAGUACUACCAAGUGUUUUAUUUUAAAAAAAUCAGAAUCCUACUUAGCUUCCAGAUCUAAGUAUCAAAUUACAGAAAAUAUAGAGGUCAGGGGACAAAUUAAUAGUAAACAUUUUAAAAACUGAAAACAUCUAUAACAUAAAAUACACCUUGUUUAAAAGUAUAAUUAAUACUGAUACUGACAGCAUAAAGAAACUCCAUAAGUAGGUAUAUAUUCAUUCACUUGCUUUCUUUCAGGAAUUACACCCCUGUGCUAUUCUAUUGUCCAAUGUGUGAAAAUUAUGUAUGAAUUACAUAUGAACUUCCAUACAUUUCAUAUAGUUUUCUGAUUGUUUACUGCAAAAAGUUAUCCCAGAUCCUGUUAGUCUCUCAAGGCUGAAAGAUUAAUCCCCUGCCAUUUUUUAAUA